CUCCCCUAAAGUGUCCUGUGGACCCGCCACGACCACGGUCAUCUUGCCGUCGAUGCUCUGUACCAUGAGCCGGAUGGCAUCAGAUGAGGAGUUUGAUUCUCGAGAGAUAGCGACGACGUCGGAAUCCAUGACUCGCAAAGUGCUUUUUACCGGAGCCGGUGGUUCCUCAACCAAUAGAAUCCUGCCAACUCAAAAGCUGUCCUGUGUUGUAUCCCUAUAUUUUACUGUUUUCUUCAUUGAAGCCACUCUAUUUAAAUAGCUGAAGCCCACCCACAUGAUUUCAGCCAUGCCACUCGCUUUAAUCAUACGAUUGGGAUAGAGGCAAGUCUCUCAUUUCACACACGUACAUGCAUGCAUUUAAAAGGAUCAACCUUUCAAUUUAAACUGGUUUGAAAUCCUGACAAAAAAUUGAUACACAUAUCAAUUUCUGUUUCGCAUUUUAAACUUCCAGUUUUAUUAACUUUGAUACACAUAUCAAUUUCUGUUUCAGUAAAUUUAACAAUGCUGAUUUGAAUUCUUUCUAUCACAUAUUUCAAUUAUUUCAACAAACUAAUUUCACUCAUUUUAGAAAAUAAUUUCAAUAGUUUCAGCAAAACUUAUUAUUUAAAAAAUGAGUGUACUACAGAAACAACAACAAAAAAAUCAAUCUUUUUAGAUUUCAAUCAUGAUUUCUGUUAUACCAAUUACACAUAUAAGAAAAAAUUGACACAAACAAUUUCAAUUUAUAUUACCAUAACUUGUUCAAUACAAAUCACACUGAUAUAACAAAUUACACAUAUAAGAAAUACCAAUUUUAUAUAUUUCAGACAAGUAAUUUCCUAUAUUGUCACAAAUAAGUGAAACUGAUUAUUCAAAUGGGUGACAUAAACAAUUUCAAUUUCUUAGAAAAAAGGUGAUUUUAGCUACUCCAAAUUCAUUUUUACUCAAAAAGAGUGAAAUCCAUUGUAGCUAAUGUGAUACAAACAAUUUCAAUUUAUAUCUCGACAACUUUUGCAAUACAUAUCACACUGAAAUAACAAAACACACACUUAGAAAAUACCAAUUUCAAAUAUUUCAGACAAGUAAUUUCAUAUAUUUUUAAUUUUAAUAAGCGAAAUAUUUCAUACACAUACCAGUUUCACUAUUUUUUUCACUUCUAAAUGAACAAAGUAUAUUUCAGUUAUUCGGGUAUCUUAUUGCACAAAAGAGUGAAACUCAUUAUUUCAAAGUACUGACAUAAACCAUUUAAAAAAAAAUGAACCCACAAGUUCUCAUUCACAUAAUGAAGAAACAACAGUUUCACAAAGAGAAACAUGCAUUCCAAUUUCUAAAAAAAAAUGCAUUUCAACAAAAAAAUUCCAAUUCCAAUUCUGUUUCACUCACGAAUGUUAGUUUCACAAAUCCGCAUUUCACAUCAGAUAUAGCAGUUUGACAUAUCUACAUAUCUAUUUCGAUUUCAGUACAACAAUAUCACAUAUAUCACACAAUCUGCUAUAGAUCUUCCCAUCGAUUUCAAUUAGACACCUUCAUUUCCAUCAAAUAUAACAGUUCAAUAUAUCACACAAGCAGGGGAGUUGUCCAUCUAGUGAAGAAGCAAGGGGGGAUCUCAAAACAUGUACCAUAAAACAAAAAUCAGGAAGUAAACACAGAGAUAAAGAUAUUAGGGGAGUUGUGCUUACUCGGGGGUGGACGCAUAUGGUCGUGGGCUUCAUGACUCACCAGAUCCGGUGGCGGUCAUUCUUGGAUUCGCCGGAUCCGGUGACGACCCUGCUCGUCGAACCGUCGUGCUAGGUGGCUGCUGUGGAGGAAUAACGCCGGAGUAGGUCUCCCCAACGCCAGCGCCCACGGCAAGGCGGGGUCAGGAGGUUAGGACCGGCGGACUUUGUCGGUCCUAGAGGAGAGGUGGCGGCGAUCUGUGGAUGUUAGAUGGUACUAGGGUUGUUCGGGCAGGGAAGGCAUCACUGGCAAAUAUAUAGUAUGGGUACUGAGUGAGAAGACCACAUGAUUUAUAUCUGAUGGCUCAAAAUAUAACUUGUUUAUGUCCACACAACAAAU
rnacentral:lncRNA from 1 species